CAGCCGCCGCGGGUAAUACCAGCCCCGCGAGUGGUCGGGACGAUUAUUGGGCCUAAAGCGCCCGUAGCCGGCUCGGCAAGUCUCCUCCUAAAUCCCCGGGCUCAACCCGGGGGUUGGAGGAGAUACUGCCGAGCUAGGGGGUGGGAGAGGCCGAGGGUACUCCCGGGGUAGGGGCGAAAUCCUAUAAUCCCGGGAGGACCACCAGUGGCGAAGGCGCUCGGCUGGAACACGCCCGACGGUGAGGGGCGAAAGCCGGGGGAGCGAACCGGAUUAGAUACCCGGGUAGUCCCGGCUGUAAACGAUGCGGGCUAGGUGUUGGGUGGGCUUAGAGCCCACCCAGUGCCGCAGGGAAGCCGUUAAGCCCGCCGCCUGGGGAGUACGGCCGCAAGGCUGAAACUUAAAGGAAUUGGCGGG
rnacentral:rRNA from 1 species